CCACGAGGGCCGAUCUUAGAAAUCGAAGAGGCACCUACUUUUCCAGCCUUUUCCAGCCUUGUCAGCACCUGUCACACGCACACUCAGUUUUGCGGAAAUUAUGGGCAUUCUGUCAAAGACUUCUGGGGAAGUAGAAAACACAUGAAUCUUACUGUUCAAUCACCCACUUCCCAUACGCAACAAUAGCUCAUGGGUACCACAAAUAACUUUGCCAAAGUUCUCUGCCAAAGUUGAGCACGUGAAGCUUGCAGCUCCCACUACAUCGCUCUGACCAAGAAGGGUAAAAGAAUAGCAAAGAAACAGCACUAACAAAGUUUAGACCCAUAAAUUUUGACGGUCUAGCUACCAUAUUAUUACCCACAAGGGUAAAGGAACAGUACCACUGCUGGAUAAUUGGAAAGUCCCUGUGUGUCAACCUCUGUGCUUCGUGGCAAGGUAGACUAGCAAACAUGCCCAACCUUUACUCACAUUCGAGAAAACACUCCCAAUAAGAUUGCUUGCUCCUAAAUCGAAGAGGCACCGUCCUCCGAAUCUCGAGAGCCAGACUCCCAACAUGACUACUUUCUUAAAAAUCGAAGAGAGGGUAAAGGAACAGUACCAUUGCUGGAUAAUUGGAAAGUCCCUGUGUGUCAACCUCUGUGCUUCGUUCGUGGCAAGGUAGACUAGCAAACAUGCCCAACCUUUACUCACAUUCGAGAAAACACUC
rnacentral:lncRNA from 1 species